AUGGCUAUAUCACGGUAAACACCGGUUUUAGUACGAUCACCGAAGUUAAGCAACGUCGAGCCUGGUCAGUAACUAGAUGGGUGACCGGUUGCGAAUACUAGGUGCUGUAAG